ACCUGAUGAUGUGGGUAUUUAUAGAACAAGUCCCUAAAAUGCUUCUAGGUCUCAAAGAAAAGUUCCCCAUCCGUUUAUGUGAAACUUGUGAUUGCCCUUCGUAGCU